rnacentral:rRNA from 1 species
GAUGAACGCUGGCGGCGUGCCUAAUACAUGCAAGUCGAGCGAACGGACGAGAAGCUUGCUUCUCUGAUGUUAGCGUCGGACGGGUGAGUAACACGUGGAUAACCUACCUAUAAGACUGGGAUAACUUCGGGAAACCGGAGCUAAUACCGGAUAAUAUUUUGAACCGCAUGGUUCAAAAGUGAAAGACGGUCUUGCUGUCACUUAUAGAUGGAUCCGAGCUGCAUUAGCUAGUUGUUAAGGUAACGGCUUACCAAGGCAACGAUGCAUAGCCGACCUGAGAGGGUGAUCGGCCACACUGGAACUGAGACACGGUCCAGACUCCUACGGGAGGCAGCAGUAGGGAAUCUUCCGCAAUGGGCGAAAGCCUGACGGAGCAACGCCGCGUGAGUGAUGAAGGUCUUCGGAUCGUAAAACUCUGUUAUUAGGGAAGAACAUAUGUGUAAGUAACUGUGCACAUCUUGACGGUACCUAAUCAGAAAGCCACGGCUAACUACGUG